rnacentral:rRNA from 1 species
GAUGAACGCUGGCGGCGUGCCUAAUACAUGCAAGUCGAGCGAAUGGAUUAAGAGCUUGCUCUUAUGAAGUUAGCGGCGGACGGGUGAGUAACACGUGGGUAACCUGCCCAUAAGACUGGGAUAACUCCGGGAAACCGGGGCUAAUACCGGAUAACAUUUUGAACCGCAUGGUUCGAAAUUGAAAGGCGGCUUCGGCUGUCACUUAUGGAUGGACCCGCGUCGCAUUAGCUAGCUGGUGAGGUAACGGCUCACCAAGGCAACGAUGCGUAGCCGACGUGAGAGGGUGAGCGGCCACACUGGGACUGAGAAACGGACCAGACUCCUACGGGAGGCAGCAGUAGGGAAUCUUCCGCAAUGGACGAAAGUCUGACGGAGCAACGCCGCGUGAGUGAUGAAGGCUUUCGGGUCGUAAAACUCUGUUGUGAGGGAAGAACAAGUGCUAGUUGAAUAAGCUGGCACCUUGACGGUACCUAACCAGAAAGCCACGGCUAACUACGUGCCAGCCGCCGCAGUAA